UUCUUAUUCAGAGAGGUGGAGGGAAUUGGCCCUAAGAAACCUCGGCAGCGGACUGUUAAAAGUACUGUGCCAAAUCCAACAAGCUACUGUGCUUGGAAAAUAAGAA
rfam:Virgibacillus massiliensis genome assembly, contig: 000001